rnacentral:lncRNA from 1 species
CCUGUUUGAAGCUUUUGCCCAUCCUCGGCUCCACAGAGGCACUGGAGAGCAGUGGAAGGUGAAGCCUGCGGCUGAUUAAAGGGGUUGGACUGGCAAAGAAAUGAACAGAUUGCUAAACUUGGAAUAAGAGGGAGCUCUAUUUUUAAAAGGUUUCCGAGUAAUGGGACCAAUUAAUAACACGAAAAUAGAAUCGGAGCUGCUUUUCAUCCUCACUGCGAACAGAGUAAGGAAAAACAGGUGGGGCUGAGUAUGAAGGUUCAGGCUGCCGACAGUGCAGAAGUCAGGAGCGCGAGUACUGCCGCGAGUUCGGAUAUCGUCCGUCUGCAAUCUAAAGUAGGCCAGCGUGGGGAUGAAUCUGCUCACUGACACAGGAUGCUAAAAUGAAUGAAGAUGGAGAAGAAGCAGCCCAGAGGCCACUUCAUGAGGGGAGAGCCAAGGAGAAGCAGGAUCAAGUCCAGGGUGGUUCUGAAGGACCACCCUUAUUUAAGAAGCAACCAGACCCCUGCCCACUUCCAAUCACUUCCUGCUACCCCUUCUUG